UGGGGAAUAUUGGACAAUGGGCGCAAGCCUGAUCCAGCCAUGCCGCGUGAGUGAUGAAGGCCCUAGGGUUGUAAAGCUCUUUCACCGUUGAAGAUAAUGACGGUAACCGGAGAAGUAGCCCCGGCUAACUUCGUGCCAGCAGCCGCGGUAAUACGAAGGGGGCUAGCGUUGUUCGGGUUUACUGGGCGUAAAGCGCACGUAGGCGGACUAUUAAGUCAGGGGUGAAAUCCCGGGGCUCAACCCCGGAACUGCCUUUGAUACUGGUAGUCUUGAGUUCGAGAGAGGUGUGUGGAAUUCCGCGUGUAGAGGUGUAAUUCGUGGAUAUUCAGAGGAACACCAGUGGCGAAGGCGGCUCACUGGAUAGAUACUGUCGCUGAGGUGCGAAAGGGUGGAGAGCAAACAGG
rnacentral:rRNA from 1 species